CCUACGGGUGGCUGCAGUGGGGAAUAUUGCACAAUGGGCGCAAGCCUGAUGCAGCCAUGCCGCGUGUGUGAAGAAGGCCUUCGGGUUGUAAAGCACUUUCAGCGGGGAGGAAGGCGUUAAGGUUAAUAACCUUGUCGAUUGACGUUACCCGCAGAAGAAGCACCGGCUAACUCCGUGCCAGCAGCCGCGGUAAUACGGAGGGUGCAAGCGUUAAUCGGAAUUACUGGGCGUAAAGCGCACGCAGGCGGUCUGUCAAGUCGGAUGUGAAAUCCCCGGGCUCAACCUGGGAACUGCAUUCGAAACUGGCAGGCUAGAGUCUUGUAGAGGGGGGUAGAAUUCCAGGUGUAGCGGUGAAAUGCGUAGAGAUCUGGAGGAAUACCGGUGGCGAAGGCGGCCCCCUGGACAAAGACCGACGCUCAGGUGCGAAAGCGUGGGGAGCAAACAGGAUUAGAUACCCUUGUAGUC
rnacentral:rRNA from 1 species